UACGAAGGGGCUAGCGUUGUUCGGAAUUACUGGGCGUAAAGCGCACGUAGGCGGACAUUUAAGUCAGGGGUGAAAUCCCGGGGCUCAACCCCGGAACUGCCUUUGAUACUGGGUGUCUUGAGUGUGGUAGAGGUGAGUGGAAUUGCGAGUGUAGAGGUGAAAUUCGUAGAUAUUCGCAGGAACACCAGUGGCGAAGGCGGCUCACUGGACCACACUGACGCUGAGGUGCGAAAGCGUGGGGAGCAAACAGG
rnacentral:rRNA from 1 species